UGCAAGAGGAUAGGAGACAGAGUAUGGCCUGCUGUGGGCUCAGGUACCAUAAACAAAGAACCCAGAGCUCAAAGUGGUGCCCGAUGCCCAUUGUAAGGAAUUACAGACAACAGAGAAGCAGUGUG